GGAUGUGAGGGCAAUCUGGCUGCAAUAUCAGUCAUGCCAUUGAUUGCCAGGGUUGAUUCAGCUGAUCUGGCUGGCUAGGUGAAUGUCCCUUCCUCCCUCACUGCUCCAUGUGCAUCCCUCCUGAAGCUGCCUGCUUGGUAGAAGAAGUUCCCCACAGAGGAAGACCAUUUCUUCAAUCAAGGGUAUACUAGUAGCUGCAUUUCCCUGCUAGAACCUCCAAACAAGGUCUCAAGAAUACACUGUUCCAGCUCACACUUCCAGUGAUCACGUCCUUCAGUGAGGUCUCACCUAAU
rfam:Heterocephalus glaber contig185683, whole genome shotgun sequence.